rnacentral:misc_RNA from 1 species
CCAAACUUGGUCAUUUAGAGGAAGUAAAAGUCGUAACAAGGUUUCCGUAGGUGAACCUGCGGAAGGAUCAUCACUGAUUCGGGGUGCAGGCGUGGGAAACUGCGCUGCGCACCCCAACCAAUCUUGUGUGAACUGUAACGCGCGAGCACUGCGUGUGGUGGAUAAUUGGUUGGCGGUACGGAGGGGGGAGACCCGCCGCCGCCGCCGCCAGCCACCGCCAUGCGAGCACACAAUUAUCUCUAUCAAUCUUGUCUAACAUAUUACAUUAAAUUGACACAACUUUUAACAAUGGAUCUCUUGGCUCUCGCAUCGAUGAAGAACGCAGC